AUGGCACAAGCGCUGCCCCCCUUUGCUUUUGGGUUUGAGUUCCCGGGACAGCCACCACCCUCGGCAUUCAACAACCAGUUCCAUGGGGGAUACCCCCCGCUACCGCAACAGUGGCAAGGGAUGUCACCCUCGUGGUUUCCCCAGCAGAUGGUGCAACCCCCUCCAGAGCAACAGGGUGGAGAUCAAGGGGUUUCUUUGAGCAACACUGGUCAAGGUUCUAGUAGAUCUGGGAUCUCUGUGCCAGGGAAUCAGAAAAAUCAGAGCAAGCAACAAAGGAAGAAGCAAGAUAGCAAAGUGGUAGUUAACAACAAUGCCACCUCUCUCAUGUCUUAUGUGAAUGUGAUUUGUGGUGGUUGUGGAGAGUCAGGUCAUGACAAAGAGAAGUGCUCCAAGACCACAACAUGUUUCAUCUGCAAGAUGGCUACACAUCAGGAACACAACUGUCCAGUUAGGAAGAAACCUAAUCUAGCUACCACGUACUUUGGGAGUGCAGCUCCUCGAUUAGGCUUCUACCAUGUGGAUAUGUCAGACGUUAACCUACAACACUCUGGGAGACUUAAGAAUGGAGGGAUUGUUUUGGUAGAAUUUGGGGAGAUCAGCAAAAAGGACCUAUCAACUAAAUUCUCAGAGAUAUACAAAACUAACUGGCCAUGGCAGAUUAAUGCUCUGGAUGAUUGGACCAUAUUAGUGAAGUUCCGCCCUGAAAUUCCUGUAGAAUCAGUUGCCAGUUACCCUUGCUUUGACCUUCACAAGGGCAAUGUUGAGGCUUGGAAAGGGAAUAUUGACGACUCUACGUCAAAACAGUUGGUCUGGAUAAAAAUUAGGAAGAUAAACCCAAGAUGGUGUGAAUGGUCUAUUCUUGACCAAAUUACUUCUGUCUUUGGCACCAUAGUGGAUGCGGAUUGGAAAUUCAACUUCAAAAUCUUCUAUGAGGUUGUGGGAGUUAAGUUGUCCUGUAAAGAUGGUAGCAAGAUCCCCAAGGAAAGAAUCUAUGGAAUAAAUGGAGAGUUCUACAAAAUGCUUAUUGCGGUGGAACAAAUCACAAAGCAAAGGGCUGAAACUGGGACUGAUAACAAUGAUACAAUUAGCCAAGGAGGGCAGGACACACAAUCUGAGACUGAGACCUCACCGAGGACUGAAGACAAUAGGUCAAACAAAAGCACUAGGUCUGAUCUGGGGAGAGGGGGUGGUUCGGACCCUACUUUGGAAAAACAGGCAGUGCUUGCCUUUUUGCAGCAAAUGCCAGAAGUCUGCCCAUAUGAAGGGGUGGAACAUCCAUCACUACUCAAUAUUCAGAUCUCUCCAUCCAUCCAGGCCUCAAGGAGAUCCAAGAUUGAUAAGAUAGUGGCAGAAUAUAUGUCUGAUGACCAAUGCUACUCUAUCCUUAGUGAAAUGGAGAUGGCUGACUUGCAUCAAGAGAUGGAGGAGGUUGGUGACACCCAGGAGCAAGAUGUUGUAGCAUCAGUAGAGCCUCUAAGUGACACUUAUGAGGCUGACUUUCCUCUACUAUCCAAGACAGUUGCUAACAAGCAACAGAAAUAG
rnacentral:rRNA from 1 species